rnacentral:lncRNA from 1 species
ACGGACUUCGGAAGCCUUGGCUUUUUUCUCUUUCUUCAUCCUAAACAAUGCACUCGCCAACUUUCCGAGAUCCCACUCGAGACCGCUGACCUGAACCUCCAGCUGCGAAGUCUCAGCGGCGUGAGCGUCCUCAGUAGAUUUCAGCGUGGCCUCAAUUCGUUUCAACGCCUCCCGCGACCCUUCUAGGCCCUCUGUCAAAUGCCCAACCUCCGAACCGCAGUCGCUAAUCAUCCCGUCGAUCAACAAUAUGAACUGCGAACGAAAUAAGAGUCAGAAUAAUUGAAGAACAAAGUAUCCUACAAGAAUUUUUUUUUUUUUUUUUUGAAAACAAACCUUGACGCGAUAUUGCGGUAAAGGCCACGAAGGCUCUCCUUCCGCACCUUUGGAACAUCUUCUCUUCUUGGCAGUCUCGGUUGCGGCGCCAUUCCUUUUGCGACCUUUGGGCAGCAGAGCGGCACUAGGCGCAGGAAGCCCUAGGACGAUCUCUUUCCUGUCCAAAGGCGGAGGCAUCGACUCCAUUGCUUGUCCUUUCUCAGGAAUCGGGACUGGGGUAGUGGAAGAGCCCGAAGGUUGGGCCAAGACCU